rnacentral:rRNA from 1 species
UACGUAGGAUCCUAGCGUUGUCCGGAUUUACUGGGUGUAAAGGGUGCGCAGGCGGACUUGUAAGUCAGGGGUGAAAUCUCGCCGCUUAACGGCGAAACUGCCUUUGAUACUAUAAGUCUUGAGUUUGGUAGAGAUCCGUGGAAUUCCGAGUGUAGCAGUGAAAUGUGUAGAUAUUCGGAAGAACACCAGCGGCGAAGGCAGCGGAUUGGGCCAAAACUGACGCUCAGGCACGAAAGCAUGGGGAUCAAACAGGAUUAGAAACCCUCGUAGUCC